UCAGUCAAUUCAUUAAGUUCCUUGCUUCCUCAGGACGACUGAGCCUAUCUGGAAGCUACUAAUCCGUAAGGAGCAAACAUG
rfam:Vibrio sp. qd031 contig_74, whole genome shotgun sequence.